rnacentral:lncRNA from 1 species
UUAUGUUUCGAGCAUGAUUAUGUGCUCCGAGCACUGAGUUUUAGGACUUCAACCCCUGCCACAUGAGUCAGAGAUUGUAAGAAAUUUGAUCUAAACUCUGGAAGAAGGAUCGUCGAAAAUACGAGUGAACAAUGAGUUUCCUGACUAGUGUUUCCUCCUUUUUCUGUCCUGUGUUUAGCUUAAGAUAAAUUAACAAGAAGAUGCCAGUUACAUAUAACACCAGCGACGGACUUAAUUUCUUAAUUACUGGCAUGUCAGUCCCACUAUUGCAAAAAAAGAGAGACAGAAGUUACCAAAGGCACAUUCAAACGACAAACUACAGUAUACAGGUUGCAACAUGAUAAACUUAAAAAGACUGCAACCAAAACGCCACCAAAAAACCGGCAGUGAUACAAGGUGCCUUUGGAGUGUCAGAGUAUCAUACUCAGCCUUCUGACUCAUAAAUACGAACCCGAUGUUAAGUCUUUUCGGCAUGUCAUAUGCGGAAAAAUAAGGGGAUGUGCGAGUGUGGUUACGAUGAUUGGAACACAGCCGUCAUCAUCUGUGAUAUCAGAAAUCCCCAACGUUCAACCAAC